UUUAUGUCAUGAAAAUCACGAAAAUAUUUGUGGAAGACAUUUAGUAAAUCUACUAUUGUUACGAGUGUAGAUCUAGAUCUAUAUAAUAUUAACAAAUUUAAUAAUAAUAAAUUAUCAGUUAGAAACUUAGAAUCUAGAUACUUACAACUUAUGUAGAGUCUAUAAGGCGGCUCGAAAAGAUGUUUCUGCUCUGUCGUCAUAACACGUGCGAUGACGUAGAUAAAAAUGACGUCAUCCGGCCCAGCGCUUUCGGCUGCAGAUCUUCACCGCCGCCAUUUGUGAUAUAAUACAGCUAAGCCUAAGACCUCUAACUAGAUCAAUGAGUAUGUGUGCUGUGCUGUGCUGUGCUGUGCUGUGCUUAGAUAUUGUUAUGAAGUAAUGCAACCUGAUGUUGUACAACUACAGGACUCUCAAUCUCACUCAAGUUGAUGGGUCAGUUGCACGAAUGGUAACUGUAAUUCACACUGGUCACGGGAAAAAGUGCCGCUGUGUGGGAAUCAAUUGUAGUUUCUCCGGUUUGUAUUUCGUAUGUUUUUACAGCAAUUUAA